AAACCGAGUCUUAACUGGGCGUUAAGUUGCAGGGUAUAGACCCGAAACCCGGUGAUCUAGCCAUGGGCAGGUUGAAGGUUGGGUAACACUAACUGGAGGACCGAACCGACUAAUGUUGAAAAAUUAGCGGAUGACUUGUGGCUGGGGGUGAAAGGCCAAUCAAACCGGGAGAUAGCUGGUUCUCCCCGAAAGCUAUUUAGGUAGCGCCUCGUGAAUUCAUCUCCGGGGGUAGAGCACUGUUUCGGCAAGGGGGUCAUCCCGACUUACCAACCCGAUGCAAACUGCGAAUACCGGAGAAUGUUAUCACGGGAGACACACGGCGGGUGCUAACGUCCGUCGUGAAGAGGGAAACAACCCAGACCGCCAGCUAAGGUCCCAAAGUCAUGGUUAAGUGGGAAACGAUGUGGGAAGGCCCAGACAGCCAGGAUGUUGGCUUAGAAGCAG
rnacentral:rRNA from 1 species